GUUUGGUGUUGCGUUUGGGUUUUACAGGUGUAGUUUUGGGUUUGGGGUUCAGGUUUGGUUUUAUGGGUUUAGUUUUAAGUUUUGGAUUUGCUUUUGGGGUUAAAAUUCGGUUUUCUGUGUUUAAUUUGGGAUUUUCUGUGUUUCAUUCAGGUUUGGGGUUGAUUUCUUUGGGAUUCUCCUUCCUUUGCACCCUCAAAUUCCAUUUCCAGUGCGCUGCUUUGGGUUGAAAACAAAAAAUUCUGCUUUAAACUCGCUUUUAAUCCUCCCCAAUAUUUUAUGGAUUUGUAUAUUUGUAAACAGUGCCAAAAUAAAGAUAUUUGAACUUUU